rnacentral:rRNA from 1 species
GGGACCCGUCUUGAAACACGGACCAAGGAGUCUAGCAUGUGCGCGAGUCAUUGGGACUCUAACGAAACCUAAAGGCGUAAUGAAAGUGAAGGUCCGCCUAGCGCGGGCCGAGGGAGGAUGGGUGACCCCGAGGGGCGCCCCGCACUCCCAGGGCGUCUCGUUCUCAUUGCGAGAAGAGGCGCACCAAGAGCGUACACGCUGGGACCCGAAAGAUGGUGAACUAUGCCUGGUCAGGACGAAGUCAGGGGAAACCCUGAUGGAGGUCCGUAGCGAUUCUGACGUGCAAAUCGAUCGUCGGAACUGGGUAUAGGGGCGAAAGACUAAUCGAACCAUCUAGUAGCUGGUUCCCUCCGAAGUUUCCCUCAGGAUAGCUGGCGCUCGCUUCUCGCGAGUCUCAUUCGGUAAAGCGAAUGAUUAGAGGCAUUGGGGUCGAAACGGCCUCAACCUAUUCUCAAACUUUAAAUGGGUGAGAUCUCCGGCUUGCUUGAACUGUGAAGCCGCGAGAUAUCGGAUCAGAGUGCCAAGUGGGCCACUUUUGGUAAGCAGAACUGGCGCUGUGGGAUGAACCAAACGCUGAGUUAAAGCGCCUAAAUCGACGCUUAUGGGAUACCAUGAAAGGCGUUGGUAACUUAAGACAGCAGGACGGUGGCCAUGGAAGUCGGAAUCCGCUAAGGAGUGUGUAAA